UUUGGAGGGCAAGUCUGGUGCCAGCAGCCGCGGUAAUUCCAGCUCCAAUAGCGUAUAUUAAAGUUGUUGCAGUUAAAAAGCUCGUAGUUGAAUUUCGGGAUCAGAGUGUCGGUCGUGCCUCGGUACGCACUGGUAUUAUUGGUUCCUACCUUCUAAAGAACCGCGAUGUCAUUAAUUUGGUGUCGUGGGGAAUCAGGACUGCUACUUUGAAAAAAUUAGAGUGUUUAAAGCAGGCUUACGCUUGAAUACAUUAGCAUGGAAUAAUGAAAUAGGACGUUUGAUUCUAUUUUGUUGGUUUCUAGGAUUGACGUAAUGAUUAAUAGGGAUAGUUGGGGGCAUUAGUAUUCAAUUGUCAGAGGUGAAAUUCUUGGAUUUAUUGAAGACUAACUACUGCGAAAGCAUUUGCCAAGGAUGUUUCCAUUAAUCAAGAACGAAAGUUAGGGGAUCGAAGACGAUCAGAUACCGUCGUAGUCUUAACCAUAAACCAUGCCGACUAGGGAUCGGAUGAUGUUAAUUUUUUAAUGACUCAUUCGGCGCCUUACGGGAAACCAAAGUGUUUGGGUUC
rnacentral:rRNA from 1 species